CGGGUCGGUGGGUCCCGGAAAAAUCGGGGGAGAUGGAAAGGCUGAACUUAAGGAAUUGACGGAAGGGCCCCCAGGUGUGCUGCGGUUAAUUUGACUCAACACGGGAAAACUCACCCGGCCCGACACCGUGGUUGACAGAUUGAUAGCUUUUUCAUGAUUCGGUGGUUGGGUGGUGCAUGGCCUUCUUAGUUCGUGGAUCGAUUUGUCUGGUUUAUUCCGAUAACGAGCGAGACUCCAGCCUACUAAAUAGUGCGGGCAUUGCUUCUUCUCGCAUUCUUAGAGGGAUUGGCUGCGUCUAGCGGCACGAACGGAGCAAUAACAGUUGUGAUGCCCUUAGAUGUCGGGGCUCACCCCUAACUGGCAAGGCAGCGUGCUCCUCAAGGAGUGUAAACCUUGAAAUUUGCCGUGAUUGGCGAAAUUGCAUUAUUUCCGGAACG
rnacentral:rRNA from 1 species